CUAUAUAAAAUAAUAUGAUAGUCGCCUACCUACGAUGCUAGGUAUCAAACUAUAUACCAAUCUCAUAAGAGUUGAAAUUAUUCCAUAUGAUCUAAGAAAACACAGGAUAGAACAAAACUAUUUCUUAGCAUAUAAAAAAUAAGAAAUGUUAUUAAACAAAAACUAUGUUAUCUAACUUUAAAAUACUAUAUCAAUUAUCAAAAUUACCCGGGCGUAGCCCAAAUAUUUUCUCUAGUAGUUAAUAAAUACAUCUUGAUUACUUGAUAUGAUUACUUGUUGCUCUGGUUUGCAGGUUCUUCUUGGGGUUGUUAGGAUUUUUCGGAAUCUUCUUUUUGUAGGAUUUUUGCAUGGGUCUUGUUUGAGUGAAGUUUCUGUUUUGGCCAUUUAAUUGCUUAUCGUGGUGUUGUGUUUGUCAUUUAAUAUCCUGGAAAAUCUCUCCUUUAUGAUGAGACGGACUCGAUUCUUUUUGCCCUUAGCUUUGGGCUCAUGUUCUAUGGUUGGUUCUUUUCUCUCAUUAAGAUCUAUUUCGUUUUGGAGUUUGUGGUUCGCUUUUUUGCCAUCUUAAGCGGUAUCUCUUCCAGUUUGAGGUUAUCGACUUCUCGGGUUGGUUUGACAUGUUUAAUACUAUCGACUACAAAAAGAUAGGCUAUUUCCAAUGGACGAAAUCGUCGGAAUAACGAUGGAAACAGCCGUAUUCGACGAAUUUUCGACGACAUAGAUUGGUCGAUUCUAUCUCGUCGGAAAUCUGAAUGUCGUCGCAAACGUGUUACAAAUUACCGACGGGUUUCCGACGAGGUAUUUUCCGACAAUUUCUAU